UUAUGUUUUACUGUGAGGUCAUAGCAGUGAAGAAUGUGAGGGCUAUUAGUACAAUCUGGUGCCACUUAUCUGAUUUGUGCCAAGAUACUAGCCAUUUUACCCACCACUGCUUUUGCAUUAUCAGUGCAAAUGUCAACAGAGAGAAAAGCGCAAAUAAUGUCUUACUAUUAUUAUGAAAAUAGUUCUGAUCUAGGAGAACCUCUGAGAAACUCUCACACAUAUCUAGGGGUCUGAGAAUCACAUUUUGAGAACGAAUCAUCAUGUUCUGGGAUUGAAGAAGUCAUCAGCUUCUCCAGAACCAUAAGCCCAUAUGAUCCCUGAAGCUUCUGUUAACAAGGAAGUUGAGGGAGAUUGCCUAUUCAGUGGGCAAACAAGAGCGUCUUCCACAACAGGGCCGUUUGGAAGUAACGGUGGAGGAAAAAGAGACACGAGCCAGGGAAAAUUAUUAGCAGGAGGUGAGUAGGAAAGACUGCUCUUAGGAUCAAGGAUUUUGUAAGUAAGGGAUGCUUACAAGUUAGGUAAUAAUAAAUUUCAGCAGUUGGGCAAUGAGUGUUUUAAGCAUUUGGGAGAAUGAAGAACUCACUUAAUGGUUUAGUAAAUGGACAAAUGAAUGACGAUCAUUACUGAUAAAACUGACCUUACCAUUGUGGGAAGAGGGAAAAUCAGUCUCUCUAGCACCUAUUUGUUUUCAAAUUGCCACGGAUAAGACCUCUCUGAAAAUAUAGCUUAGUAGUUCAGAAGUUAAACAUACCAUCGUUUAAAAGAAAUUUUCAAAUGGUUCCUCAAUUAACCAGGAACCAUCAUUUCUUACAGAAGUCUUCCUUGUCCAUGCUAUUUCAACUAAAGGUAUUACAGAAAUAAACUUCAAAGUGGUACAAAGGGUAUUGUGCAGUACAGAUUAACUCCUGAUUAUGGACACGUUAGCACUGUUGAACCAAGCAGGAAAUGGCCAUCUGCUAAGAUAGGCUUCAUUGCCCAAGUGUCUCCUGGGUAAUUUCGUGUCCUAGAAGGUCACAGAAUGCCAAUGAUUUGGUAUAACAAUGGGUAAUUCUGAUGAGACAUCAUUCGUUCUAUAGAAAGCACCAUAAGCAGCAAAGCUGAUUUGGGUUCCUAGAGAGCCUGUGUAUACUAUACUAUAGCACCUCACUUUCUAUCAGGUUUUGCUCAGGUUGCUAGAAGAGAUUCUAUGGAUUUCUAGCCUCAAAGCAGGAUUGACCUGAGUAAAAGAUUAGACAGCAGGUGCACACAUGCAAGAACUACAAGAAACUCAACAAACCAAAUUACAACUGUCAAAAGGAGGAAGAGACCAAUACAGAGGAGAGAUAUUACUUUAGUAUCUCUAACAAGUACAUGUGGCAGAAAUACAUGAUUUUCAACUUCA